CAGGUCAGCCCAGAUCUUUAUGGAGAUAACAACACAAGGCUCUUCACUUAUUGGACUGUGGAAAUUAAUUUAGAAGUGCAAAUGGGAAAUACAGGAAUGGCAAUCCAUAUCCUGUCAACCUAAGUGCAGUUGUUGGUCUAAGUGGCUGGCUUCCUUGUUCAAGGGGCUUGAAGAACAAGAUAGAAGGGUCACAAGAGGCUGCAAGGCCUGCUGCAUCUCUGCUACUUUUGUAGUCAAUGGGGAAGUUUAAUCCAAUAGG